rfam:Halorientalis sp. IM1011, complete genome.
GCGCUGGUGGUGUAGUGGUAUCACAGGACCCUGCCACGGUCCUAACCCGAGUUCAAAUCUCGGCCAGCGCA